rnacentral:rRNA from 1 species
GACGAACGCUGGCGGCGUGCUUAACACAUGCAAGUCGAACGGUGAAGCGCCUUCCUUUUUGGUGGGUGUGGAUGAGUGGCGAACGGGUGAGUAACACGUGAGUAACCUGCCCCCUUCUUCUGGAUAACCGCAUGAAAGUGUGGCUAAUACGGGAUAUUCUGGGUCUGUCGCAUGAUGGGUCUGGGAAAGAUAUUGUUUCGGUGGGGGAUGGGCUCGCGGCCUAUCAGCUUGUUGGUGGGGUGAUGGCCUACCAAGGCGGUGACGGGUAGCCGGCCUGAGAGGGUGGACGGGCACACUGGGGCUGAGACACGGCCCAGACUCCUACGGGAGGCAGCAGUGGGGAAUAUUGCACAAUGGGCGCAAGCCUGAUGCAGCGACGCCGCGUGAGGGAUGGAGGCCUUCGGGUUGUGAACCUCUUUCGCCAGUGAAGCAGGCCUGCCUCGUUUGUGGGUGGGUUGACGGUAGCUGGAUAAGAAGCGCCGGCUAACUACGUG